ensembl:snRNA U6 U6 spliceosomal RNA
UGCUUAGUUUGGCAGCAAUAUACUAAAAUUGGAAUGAUACAGAAAAAAUUAACAUGCACAAGGAUGACAUGCAAAUUUGUGAAGUGCUUGUUUUAUUG